UUCCUAAGCAAGCUUUCUUCUUU
rnacentral:snRNA from 1 species